AUGCCCUACGGGGCGCAGCAGUGUGGAAUAUUGCACAAUGGGGGAAACCCUGAUGCAGCGACGCCGCGUGAGUGAAGAAGUAUUUCGGUAUGUAAAGCUCUAUCAGCAGGGAAGAUAAUGACGGUACCUGACUAAGAAGCCCCGGCUAACUACGUGCCAGCAGCCGCGGUAAUACGUAGGGGGCAAGCGUUAUCCGGAUUUACUGGGUGUAAAGGGAGCGUAGACGGCAGUGCAAGUCUGAAGUGAAAGCCCCGGGCUUAACCCGGGAAUUGCUUUGGAAACUGUACGGCUGGAGGGCUGGCGAG
rnacentral:rRNA from 1 species